rnacentral:rRNA from 1 species
UACGGAGGGGGCUAGCGUUGUUCGGAAUUACUGGGCGUAAAGCGCAUGUAGGCGGCUUUGUAAGUUAGAGGUGAAAGCCCGGGGCUCAACUCCGGAAUUGCCUUUAAGACUGCAUCGCUAGAAUUGUGGAGAGGUAAGUGGAAUUCCGAGUGUAGAGGUGAAAUUCGUAGAUAUCAAGCGGAACACCGGUGGCGAAGGCGGCCUUCUGGACAGUGACUGACGCUGAGACGCGAAAGCGUGGGGAGCAAACAGG